rnacentral:rRNA from 1 species
UACGUAGGGUCCGAGCGUUGUCCGGAAUUAUUGGGCGUAAAGGGCGCGUAGGCGGUGCGGUAAGUCACCUGUGAAAUCUCCCGGCUCAACCGGGAGCUUGCAGGCGAAACUGCCGUGCUGGAGUGUGGGAGAGGUGCGUGGAAUUCCCGGUGUAGCGGUGAAAUGCGUAGAUAUCUGGGGGAACACCGAUGGCGAAGGCAGGUCUCUGGGCCACUACUGACGCUGAGAAGCGAAAGCAUGGGGAGCGAACAGGA